rnacentral:rRNA from 1 species
GUGCGUAACGCGUAUACAAUCUGCCUUUCACUGGGGGAUAGCCCGAAGAAAUUUGGAUUAAUACCCCAUAGUAUAGUAGUGUGGCAUCACACAACUAUUAAAGCUUAGGUGGUGAAAGAUGAGUAUGCGUUCUAUUAGCUAGUUGGAGAGGUAACGGCUCCCCAAGGCGAUGAUAGAUAGGGGUUCUGAGAGGGAUGUCCCCCACACUGGUACUGAGAUACGGACCAGACUCCUACGGGAGGCAGCAGUGAGGAAUAUUGGACAAUGGUCGGAAGACUGAUCCAGCCAUGCCGCGUGCAGGAUGACGGUCCUUAUGGRUUGUAAACUGCU